GCGUGAAAUCGACUUUAUCUUCAACUAAGAAAUUGGAUGCCUUGACAAGCUUCAACAGCCUAACAGGUUUGUAUGAAUGACAAGGACUUUUUAGUCCGUUCGGAGAUGUGUUUAAUAGUUGGAUAUAUAUAUAGUCAGGGUAUAUUUUAACACGACUUGUUGUAAGUGCAUGUUUAAUUCAAAAAAUUCUUGUCAUUCGUACAAACCUGUUAGGCUGUUGAAGCUUGCCAAGGGGUCCAAUUUCUGCAGUCGAAGGCAAAGUCGAUUUCACAC